rnacentral:tRNA from 1 species
UCCCUGAUGGUCCAGUAGCUAAGACUCUGAGUUCUAAAUGCAGGGGUCCAGGUUCAAUCCCCAGUCAGGGAA